UACAGAGGGUGCAAGCGUUGUUCGGAAUUAUUGGGCGUAAAGCGCGUGUAGGCGGCUUUGCAAGUCGGGUGUGAAAUCCCUCAGCUUAACUGAGGAAGUGCGCCCGAAACUGCAGAGCUUGAGUGCCAGAGAGGGUGGCGGAAUUCCCCAAGUAGAGGUGAAAUUCGUAGAUAUGGGGAGGAACACCGGUGGCGAAGGCGGCCACCUGGCUGGUAACUGACGCUGAGACGCGAAAGCGUGGGGGAGCAAACAGG
rnacentral:rRNA from 1 species